GGGGAAUCUUGCACAAUGGGCGAAAGCCUGAUGCAGCGACGCCGCGUGAGCGAUGAAGCCCUUCGGGGUGUAAAGCUCUUUCGACGGGAACGAUAAUGACGGUACCCGGAGAAGAAGCUGCGGCUAACUACGUGCCAGCAGCCGCGGUAAUACGUAGGCAGCGAGCGUUGUUCGGAAUUACUGGGCGUAAAGAGUGUGUAGGCGGUGCUCCCAGUCUGUUGUGAAAUCUCCCGGCUUAGCUGGGAGGGUGCAGCGGAAACUAGAGUGCUAGAGGGUGGGAGAGGUAAGCGGAAUUCCUGGUGUAGCGGUGAAAUGCGUAGAUAUCAGGAGGAACACCUGUGGUGUAGACAGCUUACUGGACCACUUCUGACGCUGAGACACGAAAGCGUGGGUAGCAAACAGGAUUAGAUACCCUGGUAGUCCACGCCCUAAACGAUGCAUACUUGGUGUGAGCGAUUCAUUUCGUUCGUGCCGGAGCUAACGCGUUAAGUAUGCCGCCUGGGGAGUACGGUCGCAAGGCUGA
rnacentral:rRNA from 1 species